CCCAGACUCCUACGGGAGGCAGCAGUGGGGGAUAUUGCACAAUGGGGGGAACCCUGAUGCAGCGACGCCGCGUGGGUGAAGGAGCGUUUCGGCGCGUAAAGCCCUAUCGGCAGGGAAGAAGGAGGACGGUACCUGACUAAGAAGCCCCGGCUAACUACGUGCCAGCAGCCGCGGUAAUACGUAGGGGGCAAGCGUUAUCCGGAUUUACUGGGUGUAAAGGGGGCGCAGACGGCAGCGCAAGCCAGGAGUGAAAGCCCGGGGCCCAACCCCGGGACUGCUCUUGGAACUGCGCGGCUGGAGUGCAGGAGGGGCAGGCGGAAUUCCUGGUGUAGCGGUGAAAUGCGUAGAUAUCAGGAGGAACACCGGUGGCGAAGGCGGCCUGCUGGACUGCGACUGACGUUGAGGCCCGAAAGCGUGGGGAGCAAACAGGAUUAGAUACCCUGGUAGG
rnacentral:rRNA from 1 species